GGUCUGGGCGUUCAGGUUUUCGGGUCGGGUUCGGAUCGGUUCUUUCGGAAUCCGGAUCCGGAUCUCUCUGGUAGUAAACAUUUAGAUCCAGUGGAUAUUUGUAAAUUUUCGGUUCGGAAUAGUUAUUAUCGGGUCUGGGUCGGUCCGGAUGUAUAACUAAAAUAUCUAUAAAAUACUCAUAACUUUUGGGUCUAUAACGGAUUCAGAUAUUUAGGAUCUGAAAGGGACAUAACACUCUCAAACUCUAUCACAUUUAGUUGAUAUUUGUCAUAUAUAUAUCUAAAAUUUUAAAAAAUAAGUUAAAUUAACCUAUU
rnacentral:lncRNA from 1 species